rnacentral:rRNA from 12 species
AUCUAUGGUCAUGCUAUCCUGCGAGCGCCUGAUCCCGUCAGAUCUAAGAAACUAAGCAGGAUGGGUCCUGGUUAUGAUUUGGAUGGGAGACUGUCUUGGAAGACCAGGGCCCAUUAGAUC